GUUGUGCCCUUGAGGCGUGGCUUCCGGAGCUAACGCGUUAAGUCGACCGCCUGGGGAGUACGGCCGCAAGGUUAAAACUCAAAUGAAUUGACGGGGGCCGCACAAGCGGUGGAGCAUGUGGUUUAAUUCGAUGCAACGCGAAGAACCUUACCUGGUCUUGACAUCCACGGAAGUUUUCAGAGAUGAGAAUGUGCCUUCGGGAACCGUGAGACAGGUGCUGCAUGGCUGUCGUCAGCUCGUGUUGUGAAAUGUUGGGUUAAGUCCCGCAACGAGCGCAACCCUUAUCCUUUGUUGCCAGCGGUCCGGCCGGGAACUCAAAAGGAGACUGCCAGUGAUAAACUGGAGGAAGGUGGGGAUGACGUCAAGUCAUCAUGGCCCUUUACGACCAGGGCUACACACGUGCUACAAUGGCGCAUACAAAGAGAAGCGACCUCGCGAGAGCAAGCGGACCUCAUAAAGUGCGUCGUAGUCCGGAUUGGAGUCUGCCACUCCAUCCAUGAAGUCGGAAUCGCUAGUAAUCGUGGAUCAGAAUGCCACGGUGAAUACGUUCCCGGGGCCUUGUACACACCGCCCGUCACACCAUGGGAGUGGGUUGCAAAAGAAGUAGGUAGCNUAACCUUCGGGAGGGCG
rnacentral:rRNA from 1 species